rnacentral:rRNA from 1 species
CAGCCGCCGCGGUAAUACGUAGGGUGCGAGCGUUAAUCGGAUUUACUGGGCGUAAAGCGUGCGCAGGCGGCCCGUUAAGACAGGUGUGAAAUCCCUGGGCUCAACCUAGGUAUUGCGCUUGUGACUGGCGGGCUCGAGUACGGUAGAGGGGGGUGGAAUUCCUGGUGUAGCAGUGAAAUGCGUAGAGAUCAGGAGGAACACCGAUGGCGAAGGCAGCCCCCUGGGCCUGUACUGACGCUCAUGCACGAAAGCGUGGGGACCAAACAGGAUUAGAUACCCUGGUAGUCCACGCCCUAAACGAUGGGUACUAGCCGUUUGGUGCGCGAUAGCGCUGAGUGGCGAAGCUAACGCGUGAAGUACCCCGCCUGGGGAGUACGGCCGCAAGGUUGAAACUUAAAGGAAUUGGCGGG